UACGGAGGGUGCGAACGUUAAUCGGAAUCACUGGGCGUAAAGCGCGCGUAGGCGGUCUGUUAAGUGGGAUGUGAAAUCCCCGGGCUUAACCUGGGAAUUGCAUUUCAAACUGGCCGACUAGAGUACGGUAGAGGGAGGUAGAAUUUCCUGUGUAGCGGUGAAAUGCGUAGAUAUAGGAAGGAAUACCAGUGGCGAAGGCAGCUCGCUGGGACGGUACUGACGCUGAGGCGCGAAAGCGUGGGGAGCGAACAGG
rnacentral:rRNA from 1 species